UACGUAGGGUGCGAGCGUUGUCCGGAAUUAUUGGGCGUAAAGAGCUCGUAGGUGGCGGGUCACGUCGGGUGUGAAAGCCCGGGGCUUAACUCCGGGUCUGCAUUCGAUACGGGUCUGCUGGGGUCCGGCAGGGGAGACUGGAAUUCCUGGUGUAGCGGUGAAAUGCGCAGACAUCAGGAGGAACACCGGUGGCGAAGGCGGGUCUCUGGGCCGGUACCGACGCUGAGGAGCGAAAGCGUGGGGAGCGAACAGG
rnacentral:rRNA from 1 species